AAGGUGACUGCCGGCUAAAAGUCGGAGGAAGGUGGGGAUGACGUCAAAUCAUCAUGCCCCUUAUGACCUGGGCUACACACGUGCUACAAUGGGCGGUACAAAGGGUCGCGAACCCGCGAGGGGGAGCCAAUCCCAAAAAGCCGCUCUCAGUUCGGAUUGCAGGCUGCAACUCGCCUGCAUGAAGCCGGAAUCGCUAGUAAUCGCGGAUCAGCAUGCCGCGGUGAAUACGUUCCCGGGCCUU
rnacentral:rRNA from 1 species